ACCAGCGGAGGGAUCAUUACCGAGUUUACAACUCCCAAACCCCUGUGAACAUACCAAUUGUUGCCUCGGCGGAUCAGCCCGCUCCCGGUAAAACGGGACGGCCCGCCAGAGGACCCCUAAACUCUGUUUCUAUAUGUAACUUCUGAGUAAAACCAUAAAUAAAUCAAAACUUUCAACAACGGAUCUCUUGGUUCUGGCAUCGAUGAAGAACGCAGCAAAAUGCGAUAAGUAAUGUGAAUUGCAGAAUUCAGUGAAUCAUCGAAUCUUUGAACGCACAUUGCGCCCGCCAGUAUUCUGGCGGGCAUGCCUGUUCGAGCGUCAUUUCAACCCUCAAGCCCUCGGGUUUGGUGUUGGGGAUCGGCGAGCCCUCGCGGCAAGCCGGCCCCGAAAUAUAGUGGCGGUCUCGCUGCAGCUUCCAUUGCGUAGUAGUAAAACCCUCGCAACUGGUACGCGGCGCGGCCAAGCCGUUAAACCCCCAACUUCUGAAUGUUGACCUCGGAUCAGGUAGGAAUACCCGCUGAACUUAAGCAU
rnacentral:rRNA from 1 species